rnacentral:ncRNA from 1 species
AGCUCUCUCGAACGAGAGGACUGGGUUGGGCUAACCUAUGGUGUACCGGUUAUUAUGCCAAUAGCAGCGCCGGGCAGCUAAGUUGGUAUGGAAGAACUGCAAUGUAUUCCA